UGCUAUAAAAAUGUGUAUACUUGAUUAACAUUGAAGAAUAGUUAGUAAUUUAACACACAAUACACAUAUUUGUGUUCUUAUAUAACAAAAGAAUCCUUUUGUAUUCAACACAAAUUUCAUAAAAACUAGCAAAAAACCGCGAAGUUUGGUAAAUCAGCUGAGAAAACCACCAAGUAUGGAUCAGUUCACAAUCAUCCCACGACUGUGGAUAACAAAUCCAAAUAUAUAAUUUUUUUGGUACUUCCCCGAUGGCAUCGACAUCUACUUUGACAACGUGGGAGGGAAGAUGCUCGAAGCGGUGCUAAACAGCAUGAGACUCAACGGCCGUGUUGCGCUUUGUGGGAUGAUCUCCCAAUACAACAGCCUUGAGCAGCCCGAAGGCGUCCACAACUUGAUUAACGCAUUAGUAAAACGGGUCCAUAUGGAAGGAUUUUUCACUAGCGACCACUACCAUCUCUACCCCAAGUUCCUGGAGAUGGUUGUGCCUCUAAUCAAGGAAGAGAAGAUCACAUACGUCGAAGACAUAGCCGAAGGCAUUGAAAGCGCGCCUGGGGCUCUCUUUGGCUUAUACUCCGGUCGCAACGUAGGGAAGCUGUUGGUGGUGGUUUCUCGUGAGUAAUUCUGUUUUUACCAUCGGAAACAAUGAAUGACUUAAAUAAGGUUAUAAUCAUGAAUUAUAAAUAUAUGAUCAUGAAUUUGAUGUAUUGUUAUUAAUUUAAACAGGUAGCACCUCCAAUCCUCCAUUUCUUAUUUAUCUCUUCCCUUCACUA